UACAGAGGUCUCAAGCGUUGUUCGGAUUCAUUGGGCGUAAAGGGUGCGUAGGCGGCGCGGUAAGUCGGGUGUGAAAUCUCGGAGCUUAACUCCGAAACUGCAUUCGAUACUGCCGUGCUUGAGGACUGGAGAGGAGACUGGAAUUUACGGUGUAGCGGUGAAAUGCGUAGAUAAUCGUAAGGAAGACCAGUGGCGAAGGCCGGGUCUC
rnacentral:rRNA from 1 species